CACUUAUUUCUUAUCUUGGUCAAGCUAAAUUACUAUUCGAAGCCUCAUUCACUUAUUUCUUAUCUUGAUCAAUUAUUCGAGACUUAUCAACAAAUUUUUUGUGUGGCUGUAGUACAGUUAUUAAAUGAUAUAUAGUCCUUGUAUCUAUUCAAUCAUAUUUCGACAAAUCUUUAAUGUGAGAGAACAAUUUUCUAUGCUCUCUCAUAUAAGUGGAUCUUCCUCGAGCAAGUUAAGCAACGAAGGUACAUCUCCCUCGAGUGCUGCAUCAUAUAGCCUUGUUAUAGCAAGUGAAUGGCUUCUUUUUAUUUGUGCUUCCAUUUUUUAUGGGAGGGAAUUCAUGUACAAGUUUUCUUGCAAUUUUGUACUUGUGUUUGUCUCUUUAAUACAAUUAUACCCGUUUAAGAAUAAGAAUGCAAGAUCAAUGAAUGGAGACAUUUAUGAUGGAUUAUAUUUUUCUUGGAAGCUCACUCUAAAGAAACCUUUUAUUUGAGCAAUGGUGGGCAAGUCAAUAGUGGUAUACUCGCAUGUAAUAUAUUACUAAUGCUUCGAAAUUAUUUAGUACUAUAAAAAACUAGGUUACAUGUUUCGAGCAUGCAUUAAUUAAUAGAUUCUCUAGAAGGUCAGGAGAGCUCACUUCACCUUUUCCUCUCUUCCUCCUUCAAAUAUACUUUUUUUUUUAUUUAUUUUUAUUUAUUUAUUAUUUUUUUUUACUGCGCUUGGAGCUACCACCAAUCAUUUGGUGUUUGAAAUUAUAAAUUAACUUUUAAUAUAAAGUACGAAGUAAUUGUUUCAUGACCAUUGAGGUGAAUAAAGCUUCAUGUGCUAAAACUUAUAAGAAAUAUAGUGUGAGGGCAAAGUUGUAAAAGAAGUUGAACGAAUUUAGUUAGGUAUCUAUACAUGAAUAUUAUGAAAAAGGCAUAUUAGUUUUAGUUAUAUUUUAACUUUAAUAGAUGAAAAGACUAGUUCUAUUGAGUACUUCAUAUAUAUGUUUAUGAAAUGUGCACUAUUAGUUCAAUUUUAUUUAAUUAUGGUGGAAAUAAAACAAUUCAUUUUCUUACUUAAAUUUGCAAGUUAUGGAAUGCCUAACGACUUUAACAUAGAUUAGGGCAGCUAAUGCAUGUGUCAUACUUUAACAUUUGUUUUCAAAAUAAUAAUAAUAAUAAAAAAAACGACUUUAACAUUAAUUAUAUAAUAUAUUUAUUUCAACUUUUAUAUUAAAAAGGUAAUACAAAAAAGAAAGAUUAAGGGAGGUGACAUGUGGCAUAUGAGUGAUUUAUGAUAACAUAUGGUAUAUGAAAGAUUUGUGGUUUGUGUUUUUAAAUACGAAGUAUAGAUAGAUAGACAUAUAGAUAAAUAGAUAGAUAUAGGUUAGGGCAGCUAAUGCACGUGUCAUACCAAGCCAUGUUCAGGGACUCUUUUAAUUGUUAGUUACAUCAAUAAGGGAAAUUAUAUAAACAAAUAUUUUUAAGGAUGUAAAUGUCUGCAUACUAUUAUAAAUAGCUCAAAGAAAAGACAAUUAACAUUAAUAAAGACAAAAAAAAAAACUAUUAACAUUAAUAAUGGCGAAAUAAAAACGUGUAUAUAUCACUACUAGAAAUAGGCUAAAUUGUGACGGAAUGCUUACGACGGAUAUGAUUUUCCGUUGUAAAGGUGGAUAUUUGCGACGGAAAAUAUUUCGUCGCAAUUUAGCGACGGAAAAUUUCGAUUACCACGCUUUAUCCCUCGUAAAAUUUACGACGGAAUUUAUUUCCGUCGUAAUUUAAAACUUGCGACGGAAUAUUCCGUCGUAAAGUGUUUUGCGACGGAAUAUUCCGUCGUAAGUUUUAAAUUACGACGGAAAUAAAUUCCGUCGUAAAUUCUACUGUCAUUUUUUCAAAAUUGAAAUUGCGACCUUGCCCUAAAAAAAAGGGGGAAAUAAUUGAAAAUUAGAGAGCGAAGUGAAGCAGCGCGAGGAGAGGGAGAAAGAGAAGGAGAGAGAGAAGGAGAGAGGAGAAUGUUGCGGCGGCGGUGGUGAUUUGUUUACGCCGGCGACGCCUGCACAUCAGCCGCCGAGAAAGAGAACGGGAAAUAUAGAGGAGAAAAAGAACGGGAAAGAAAGAGAGAGGAGAAAGAGAAUGGGAAAGAGAAAGAUAAGGAGGAAGGGAGGAAGGUUCCCGGCGAGCUUUCGAGCCCUGGUGGUUUCCGGCGAGCCGCCGCGUCUAGCCGCACCUCCGUCCCCAAGCCGUGACUGAACCCACCGGCCCUUGGUUGUUUCCGGCGACGCCCCACCUCCGCCUGACAGAUUUGUACAAUUUUGUUGGUUUAAUUGUUAAAAAGAAGUGCAGAUCUAAAGGUUAGUUACAUUACAAACCCUAAUAUAAUGUAUAUGUGUAUCUUACUUUGGUUGUUAGAUAUUCAAUAACUUUUAGUUUGGUUAAUUUAGUGACAUUGGUGAUCUCUUAUAAGUAAUUAAUUGCUCCCUUCUCUUUAAAAAAAUAAUAUAAUG